GUGCUUUCUUCCUUGGGCAGCACAUAUACUAAAAUUGGAACGAUAAAGAAGAUUAGCAUGUCCCCUGCACAGGGAUGACAUGCAAAUUCAUGAAGCAUUCCAUAUUAAA
ensembl:snRNA U6 U6 spliceosomal RNA